rnacentral:sRNA from 1 species
GUCAGGCAUGGUGGCUCAUGCCUGUAAUCCCAGUGGCUCCGGAGGCUGAGGUAAGAGGAUGGAGAGUUCAAACCUAGCCUCAG